UAUGAGUACUGUAAAAAUGUUGACAGCUGUUUGGUAAAGUUAUGAUUGAAUGAUGUUCAAAAACAUGAGAGGUGCAAUGUUGAAAGUGAAUGCCAACUGUUGGAUAUGAUUUCAUAUUUCCAGUAACACUAGUUCAUAAAGGUUAAAAGGUUAUGAGAUUAACACAAAACAGUCUUAGUUUAUAAAUCUGUUUAUGCUUGAAUAUGUGAAGUGUUGAGUUAAACAUUCAAGAGGACUGAAAGAAAAAUAUUCACUGUUUUCUUAACAUGAGUUUUAUUGUUUAGUCAUGCAUCUUCUUAGACAGCAUCUUGAAGUCAGAAAGGGGGAUGUAGUAUUAGUUAGAAUACGGGGUAGGAACCUUCUGCAUGUAACCCGUGUAACCACUAGGUGGAGGGCAAUAAAGGAACACAGUUCUUAAGAUGCAGUCACGUCUCUGCGAGUCUCCCUGUUAUAAGUACCUAUUGCAAGGCUAACUGAACAGGUCUGACAGGGCUAACAAUUAGGUGUCAGUGCUACAGAUCAAUGAGGAAAAGUCAACCUCCUCACAGUGUAAGGGAAAGUCAUCACACAGGCUAAGUUUAGGUUCCUGAGAAAACUCAAGUAUUGUAUUUAAGUAGUAUUGACGUGUUUGUGCUUACUAGGUGGUGGGUCUGUUCAUCUUUGCAAUUCAAUUUGGGGCUGACCUGAAUUUCUAAAGUUGGGAUGAUUGUUGUAUUUUUAACAAUAAGCCAGUUGUUGCCACCUCAAGUUUUUGCCCAUUUUGUCAAAAUCAGUGUCAAAGUUGGUUAAACUCGCAGGCAAACAUAGUUGCCAUAGGGGCAGUGAACCAGCUCAAGGAUCACCUCUGGAGAUGGUGGAAGUGACAUCCAGUGUCAUUAUUCUUGUCUUUAUUCAUCUGUCAAACAAUGUCCUCAUUUCUUUGUGAUUUCUAAUAAAUGCACAUGACUUCUUACAAUGUUGCAUGGUCUUGUUUGUGUAUCAUCUAAGCCUAUCAUUUAUCACAGUUAAGAUCACCACGUCAUUAUACAUUUCAAUUAAAUUAAAAUGGCUUUAUUGGCUUGACUGCAUACAACACAACGUUGCCAAAGCAUGUUUACACAAAAUGUACAAUCGCAAUCACUCCAGCCCCAGCCCAUCAACUGCACCGCCCCCACCACAGCAGACUGCCCACCACAGCAACUGCCCACCUCAGAGCUCCUGGGGUAUCCAAAUCCUCACUGAGCCUCAUGAUGUGAUCCGACUGACUGGACGGAUGAGCAGGUCAUGUGAUGCAAACCUAGGGAAACAGAAUAGAGGUGUGCAUCUUGUAGAUAUUCCCAUUUUAAAGUUAUUCAACUUUAUUAAGUUGUAAACAAAUGUGAUGCAUUCCCGACUAUCUUUUGUUAUGAAUUUCACUAACAUAGCAGGUACCUUAUCCUGAUAUUAACCACAGAAGAAUUUACCUGGCAUGAUUUUUGAAAAUAAAACAAGUAUCUUGGCAUGUUGACUGACA
rnacentral:lncRNA from 1 species